AGUGAACGCUGGCGGUAGGCCUAACACAUGCAAGUCGAACGGUAGCACAGUAAGAGCUUGCUCUUACGGGUGGCGAGUGGCGGACGGGUGAGGAAUACAUCGGGAUCUACUUUUUCGUGGGGGAUAACGUAGGGAAACUUACGCUAAUACCGCAUACGACCUACGGGUGAAAGCAGGGGAUCUUCGGACCUUGCGCGAUUGAAUGAGCCGAUGUCGGAUUAGCUAGUUGGCGGGGUAAAGGCCCACCAAGGCGACGAUCCGUAGCUGGUCUGAGAGGAUGAUCAGCCACACUGGAACUGAGACACGGUCCAGACUCCUACGGGAGGCAGCAGUGGGGAAUAUUGGACAAUGGGCGCAAGCCUGAUCCAGCCAUACCGCGUGGGUGAAGAAGGCCUUCGGGUUGUAAAGCCCUUUUGUUGGGAAAGAAAAGCAGCAGGUUAAUACCCCGCUGUUCUGACGGUACCCAAAGAAUAAGCACCGGCUAACUUCGUG
rnacentral:rRNA from 1 species